UGGAUAGCUCAGUUGGUAGAGCAUUGGACUCUUAAUAUCUCAGGGUCAUGAGUUUGAGUCUCACAUUGAGCAAAA